CAGCGAUGCCGCGUGAGUGAAGAAGGCCUUUGGGUUGUAAAGCUCUUUCGUCGGGGAAGAAAAUGACUGUACCCGAAUAAGAAGGUCCGGCUAACUUCGUGCCAGCAGCCGCGGUAAUACGAAGGGACCUAGCGUAGUUCGGAAUUACUGGGCUUAAAGAGUUCGUAGGUGGUUAAAAAAGUUGGUGGUGAAAUCCCAAAGCUUAACUCUGGAACUGCCAUCAAAACUUUUUAGCUAGAGUAUGAUAGAGGAAAGCAGAAUUUCUAGUGUAGAGGUGAAAUUCGUAGAUAUUAGAAAGAAUACCAAUUGCGAAGGCAGCUUUCUGGAUCAUUACUGACGCUGAGGAACGAAAGCAUGGGUAGCGAAGAGGAUUAGAUACCCUCGUAGUCCAUGCCGUAAACGAUGUGUGUUAGACGUUGGAAAUUUAUUUUCAGUGUCGCAGCGAAAGCAAUAAACACACCGCCUGGGGAGUACGACCGCA
rnacentral:rRNA from 1 species